AACUUUCGACAAUGGAUCUCUUGGCUCUCACAUCGAUGAAGAACGCAGCGAAAUGCGAUAAGUAAUGUGAAUUGCAGAAUUCAGUGAAUCAUCGAAUCUUUGAACGCACCUUGCGCCCUUUGGCUAUUCUGAAGGGCAUGCCUGUUUGAGUAUCAUGAACACCUCAACUCUCAUGGUCCUCCAUGAUGAGCUUGGACUUUGGGGGUCUUGCCGGCCUAGUGUCGGCUCCUCUCAAAUGGAUCAGCUUGCCAGUGUUUGGUGGCGUCACAGGUGUGAUAACUAUCUACGCUUGUGGUUUUCUGCCAUAUAACCUUCAGUGAUGGAGGUUCUCUGGAGCUCACAGAUGUCUCUCCUUGGGGAGGACAGCUUUUGAACGUUUGAUCUCAAAUCAGGUAGGACUACCCGCUGAACUUAAGCAUAUCAAUAAGCGGAGGCU
rnacentral:misc_RNA from 1 species